rnacentral:sRNA from 1 species
GCCGGGCGUGGUAGCAUAUGCCUGUAAUCUCAGCAGCUUGGGAGGCUGAGACAGGAGGAUCUCGAGUUCAAAGCCAGCCUUAGCAACAGCAAGGCACUAAGCAACUCAGUGAGACCCUGUCUCUA